UACGUAGGGUGCAAGCGUUGUCCGGAUUUAUUGGGCGUAAAGAGCGUGUAGGCGGCUAGGUACGUCCGCUGUGAAAACUUGAGGCUCAACCUCAAGAGGGCGGUGGAAACCAUCUGGCUAGAGUCCGGAAGAGGAGAGUGGAAUUCCCGGUGUAGCGGUGAAAUGCGCAGAUAUCGGGAAGAACACCCGUGGCGAAGGCGGCUCUCUGGGACGGUACUGACGCUGAGAAGCGAAAGCGUGGGGAGCGAACAGG
rnacentral:rRNA from 1 species